rnacentral:rRNA from 1 species
AGAAAUCUCACCAGGCCCGGACACUGGAAGGAUUGACAGAUUGAUAGCUCUUCCUUGAUUCGGUGGGUGGUGGUGCAUGGCCGUUCUUAGUUGGUUGAGUGAUUUGUCUUGUUAAUUCCGUUAACGAACGAGACCUUAACCUGCUAAAUAGUGACGCGGUUCAUCGAACCGUGGGCCACUUCUUAGAGGGACUAUCGGAUUCAAACCGAUGGAAGUGUGAGGCAAUAA